CAGCAGCCGCGGUAAUACGUAGGGUGCGAGCGUUAAUCGGAAUUACUGGGCGUAAAGCGAGCGCAGACGGUUACUUAAGCAGGAUGUGAAAUCCCCGGGCUCAACCUGGGAACUGCGUUCUGAACUGGGUGACUAGAGUGUGUCAGAGGGAGGGGUAGAAUUCCACGUGUAGCGGUGAAAUGCGUAKAGAUGUGGAGGAAUACCGAAGGCGAAGGCAGCCCCUUGGGAAUGUACUGACGCUCAUGUGCGAAAGCGUGGGGAGCAAACAGGAUUAGAUACCCUGGUAGUCCACGCUGUAAACGAUGUCGAUUUGGGGGUUGAGCUUUAAGCUUGGCGCCCGUAGCUAACGUGAUAAAUCGACCGCCUGGGGAGUACGGCCGCAAGGUUAAAACUCAAAUGAAUUGACGGGGGCCCGCACAAGCGGUGGAGCAUGUGGUUUAAUUCGAUGCAACGCGAAGAACCUUACCUACUCUUGACAUCCAGAGAACAUUC
rnacentral:rRNA from 1 species